GAGGCGAUGAAAGACGUAGUAACUUGCGAUAAGCCCAGAUUAGGUAGUAACAACCAUUUGAGUCUGGGAUUUCUGAAUGGGGAAACCCACUUACAUAAGUAAGUAUCAUUAACUGAAUACAUAGGUUAAUGAGGCGAACCGGGGGAACUGAAACAUCUAAGUACCCCGAGGAAAAGAAAUCAACCGAGAUUCCGAAAGUAGCGGCGAGCGAAAUUGGACUAGCCCUUAAGCUUUACACGCGUUAGACGAACGGUCUGGAAAGUCCGACGAUACAGGGUGAUAGUCCCGUAGUUGACGACGUGUGUUCAGUGAAAUCGAGUAGGGCGGGACACGUGAUAUCCUGUCUGAAUAUGGGGGGACCAUCCUCCAAGGCUAAAUACUACUGACUGACCGAUAGUGAACCAGUACCGUGAGGGAAAGGCGAAAAGAACCCCUGUGAGGGGAGUGAAAUAGAACCUGAAACCGUGUACGUACAAGCAGUAGGAGCAGGCUUUGUCCUGUGACUGCGUACCUUUUGUAUAAUGGGUCAGCGACUUAUAUUCAGUGGCAAGGUUAACCAUCUAGGGGAGCCGUAGGGAAACCGAGUCUUAACUGGGCGUUCAGUCUCUGGAUAUAGACCCGAAACCAGGUGAUCUAGCCAUGGGCAGGUUGAAGGUUGAGUAACAUCAACUGGAGGACCGAACCGACUAAUGUUGAAAAAUUAGCGGAUGACUUGUGGCUAGGGGUGAAAGGCCAAUCAAACCUGGAGAUAGCUGGUUCUCCCCGAAAGCUAUUUAGGUAGCGCCUCGGACGAAUACUACUGGGGGUAGAGCACUGUUAAGGCUAGGGGGUCAUCCCGACUUACCAACCCUUUGCAAACUCCGAAUACCAGUAAGUACUAUCCGGGAGACACACGGCGGGUGCUAACGUCCGUCGUGGAGAGGGAAACAACCCAGACCGCCAGCUAAGGUCCCAAAUUACUACUAAGUGGGAAACGAUGUGGGAAGGCUCAGACAGCCAGGAUGUUGGCUUAGAAGCAGCCAUCAUUUAAAGAAAGCGUAAUAGCUCACUGGUCGAGUCGGCCUGCGCGGAAGAUGUAACGGGGCUAAGUAGUAAACCGAAGCUGCGGCAAUAUACUUUUGUAUAUUGGGUAGGGGAGCGUUCUGUAAGCGGUUGAAGGUGUGUGGUAACGCAUGCUGGACGUAUCAGAAGUGCGAAUGCUGACAUGAGUAACGAUAAAGGGGGUGAAAAACCUCCUCGCCGGAAGACCAAGGGUUCCUGUCCAACGUUAAUCGGGGCAGGGUAAGUCGACCCCUAAGGCGAGGCCGAAAGGCGUAGUCGAUGGGAAACGGGUUAAUAUUCCCGUACUUCUUACAAUUGCGAUGGGGGGACGGAGAAGGCUAGGUGGGCCUGGCGACGGUUGUCCAGGUUCAAGUGCGUAGGCUUAAGAGUUAGGUAAAUCCGGCUCUUUUUAAGGCUGAGACACGACGUCGAGCACCUACGGGUGUGAAGUCAUUGAUGCCAUGCUUCCAGGAAAAGCCUCUAAGCUUCAGAUUGUAAGGAAUCGUACCCCAAACCGACACAGGUGGUCGGGUAGAGAAUACCAAGGCGCUUGAGAGAACUCGGGUGAAGGAACUAGGCAAAAUGGUACCGUAACUUCGGGAGAAGGUACGCUCUUGAUGGUGAAGUCCCUUGCGGAUGGAGCUGACGAGAGUCGCAGAUACCAGGUGGCUGCAACUGUUUAUUAAAAACACAGCACUGUGCAAAAUCGUAAGAUGACGUAUACGGUGUGACGCCUGCCCGGUGCCGGAAGGUUAAUUGAUGGGGUUAGACUUCGGUCGAAGCUCUUGAUCGAAGCCCCGGUAAACGGCGGCCGUAACUAUAACGGUCCUAAGGUAGCGAAAUUCCUUGUCGGGUAAGUUCCGACCUGCACGAAUGGCGUAAUGAUGGCCACGCUGUCUCCACCCGAGACUCAGUGAAAUUGAAAUCGCUGUGAAGAUGCAGUGUACCCGCGGCUAGACGGAAAGACCCCGUGAACCUUUACUACAGCUUGGCACUGAACAUUGACCCUACAUGUGUAGGAUAGGUGGGAGGCUUUGAAGCACGUACGCCAGUAUGUGUGGAGCCGUCCUUGAAAUACCACCCUUGUAGUGUUGAUGUUCUAACGUCGACCCCUAAUCGGGGUUGCGGACAGUGCCUGGUGGGUAGUUUGACUGGGGCGGUCUCCUCCCAAAGAGUAACGGAGGAGCACGAAGGUGGGCUAAUCACGGUUGGACAUCGUGAGGUUAGUGCAAUGGCAUAAGCCCGCUUGACUGCGAGAAUGACAAUUCGAGCAGGUGCGAAAGCAGGUCAUAGUGAUCCGGUGGUUCUGAAUGGAAGGGCCAUCGCUCAACGGAUAAAAGGUACUCCGGGGAUAACAGGCUGAUACCGCCCAAGAGUUCAUAUCGACGGCGGUGUUUGGCACCUCGAUGUCGGCUCAUCACAUCCUGGGGCUGAAGUCGGUCCCAAGGGUAUGGCUGUUCGCCAUUUAAAGUGGUACGCGAGCUGGGUUUAGAACGUCGUGAGACAGUUCGGUCCCUAUCUGCCGUGGGCGUUGGAAGAUUGAAGGGGGCUGCUCCUAGUACGAGAGGACCGGAGUGGACGAACCUCUGGUGUUCGGGUUGUGUCGCCAGACGCAUUGCCCGGUAGCUAAGUUCGGAAUCGAUAACCGCUGAAAGCAUCUAAGCGGGAAGCGAGCCCUGAGAUGAGUCUUCCCUGAUACUUUAAGUAUCCUAAAGGGUUGUCGGAGACUACGACGUUGAUAGGUCAGGUGUGUAAGUGCUGUGAGGCAUUGAGCUAACUGAUACUAAUUGCCCGUGAGGCUUAACCAUACAACACCCAAGGGGUUU
rnacentral:rRNA from 1 species